CCACCUAUUCGCUCGGUGCGUGUUUUCCAGAUUUCUUAUCGUCAUGGCAUUGAAAAAUGUACAAACAAGAGACUUGGGUGAUGACGUGACUAUCGUUUGGGAUAGAUGGAUAAGUAGAAAGGACUCGCCAUCCCCUCUUUCAGGACCAACCGGUUUAAUAGCUUGUUGGUGGAUCAUCUGGGAAGUUAGGAACCGUACAAUCUUCAGAUCGGUCAAUCCAGACCCAUUGCUGGGUAUAAAUAAGAUUAAACUGUUGACGGACCAAUGGAAGCAUUAUCUAUUAUUAAAUUUGCACUACUGUAAUCGCUAGGUUUUUUUUUUCCGCUUUCGAGGCCCAUAUUACCUCACCUCUAUAGCUUAGUUCACUCUUUCAAUGAAUGAAGCAGGUAGCGUACUACUUAUUCCUCACCAAAAAAAAAAACUAAAGUGUGCAAAUGCAUAGUCACGUCAUCUUUGUAAUUUUGUGUAGUGCGGGGUCAUAUCGAUUCUAUAAUAAUGAUAAUUGUAUAGUCAAGUCUAAUUAUUAUGUCAUAUAUAUAGUUAAUUUUAUAUCAUAUCUAAUGUGUAGUCAUUUCACUUUUAUUUAUAUAUAAUGUAUAGUCAUAUUAUUUUAUAUCAUAUUGAUUUUCAGUCAUAUCAAAUAUUAUGUUAAGUAUGUAGUCAUAUUAUCUAAAGGUGUCCGUGGAACGGAUCGGGUCUGGGUAAUUAAUAUACUGUACCCAUACCCUAAAAAGAAAUGGUUAGAAAAAAAUAUAUAUACCCUACCCAUUUAACUUCGGGUCGGGUCCGGAUCUAGAUACUUAAGUUACUAAUAUACCCAUCGGGUCUAUUUUUACGGGUCUGGAUAGUAACUACCCGUAUACUAUCGGUUCAAGACCGGAUAUGGAUCGAGUCUGGAUCGGGUACGAAUACCUGUAUAAACAUAUUUUUUAUAGACUUUAUUAAAUAGUUUAUGGACAAACUAUAAAGCCCUCCACAAAAAACUCGUGUUCUAAUAAAUUGUACCAUCCAAUGAAAUUCAUUCAAAAGAAAUAAAAUAAAAUAUCCCAAUACA
rnacentral:lncRNA from 1 species